rnacentral:rRNA from 1 species
GAUCAGACCUCCAUUCAGAUAAGACAACCCGCUGAAUUUAAGCAUAUAACUAAGCGGAGGAAAAGAAACUAACUAGGAUUCCCUCAGUAACGGCGAGUGAAGCGGGAAAAGCGCAGACUGAAAACCUUCGGGGAUGUAGUCUGGAGAUGGGAUAUCGAAGCUUCGGAAACCGAUAAAGUGGUCUGGAACGACACGCCGUGGAGGGUGAUAGCCCCGUUCGUAUCGGUGGAAAAAGCAAGUAGAUACCUAUCAACGAGUCGAGUUGUUUGGGAUUGCAGCUCAAAGCGGGAGGUAAAUUCCUUCCAACGCUAAAUACGGAUAGGAGACCGAUAGCAAACAAGUACCGUGAGGGAAAGAUGAAAAGCACUUUGAAAAGAGAGUGAAAUAGUACGUGAAAUUGCUGUAACGGAACCGUUGGGAAGCAGUGUUGCUGGCUAUCGGCUUGCCUUUAGCAUGCAGGUCAGGCUUGCUUCAGUUGACCAGGGAAAAGGCACGAGUAUUCGUUGUCCUAUCUGGUUCUGGAGCGACUCUGGGGAAAUGCUUCUCAACAACCCGUCUUGAAACACGGACCAAGGAGUCUAACAUGUGUGCAAGUGUUAGGGAGUCAAAUCCCAAGCGCGAAAUUAACGUAAAGGAAUGCUUCGGCGUUCUGAGGUGGGAAGCUUCGGCUGCACCAUCGACCGACCAUGAUCUCUCGAGUGAAAGGUUUGAGUGUGAGCAUACAUGUUGGGACCCGAAAGAUGGUGAACUAUGCUUGAGUAG